rnacentral:miRNA from 1 species
UACAGUGUUCACGUUACGAUGG